AUGCCCCUGCCCACAAAGCCAAGUCCAUAGACAAAUGUCUUUUCUAGGUUGGCGUGGAAGAACCUGACUGGCCCGACCUUAACCCCAUCCACCCACUGAACUGGAACACCAACUGUGAGCCCAUUAGCGUGUAAGCGAUUAGCUCGCCAGCCGCUGCGAUUCGCCGGCUAUCCCUGAGAGCAGUCCCGUAUGUCAGCGCAGUGACACCUCGAGAAGAAACAAGCUGAAAUCAUCCUACUGCACUGACAGAUUUUUUUGCUUGUUUUUAAAAAAA